UAUACUCGAAGAUCCGCGAUUCAUCUCACUCCAUUAUCGUAUGUGCGGAUGGAAGAAAAACCACAUCGAAAUCGGAUCGGAAAAACUUACCAGAUUAAAGCUCCAAUUACAAUUAGCUUCUCACCAAUUCCGUUACGAGUUGCGAGCUUCUACGGAUUUUGUUGAAGGUUCUUGGUGGAUGAUGAAGGCCUCGCUCGCAUCUCCGCUUUGAGAUGAAGACGAAGACGUAAUACCGGUAUUGCCGAUCGAAAUGAAGAAGAAGUCUCUUGGAUCGAUCUUUGGCGGUUCGGUUGUGAUGAUGAUAAAUUAAUGUGGAAGAAUUGAAGAGUGAAGAUUGGAAGCGGU